rnacentral:rRNA from 1 species
CCUACGGGUGGCAGCAGUGAGGAAUAUUGGUCAAUGGACGAGAGUCUGAACCAGCCAAGUAGCGUGAAGGAUGACUGCACUAUGGGUUGUAAACUUCUUUUAUAUGGGAAUAAAACGUUCCACGUGUGGGAUUUUGUAUGUACCAUAUGAAUAAGGAUCGGCUAACUCCGUGCCAGCAGCCGCGGUAAUACGGAGGAUCCGAGCGUUAUCCGGAUUUAUUGGGUUUAAAGGGAGCGUAGGUGGAUUGUUAAGUCAGUUGUGAAAGUUUGCGGCUCAACCGUAAAAUUGCAGUUGAAACUGGCAGUCUUGAGUACAGUAGAGGUGGGUGGAAUUCGUGGUGUAGCGGUGAAAUGCUUAGAUAUCACGAAGAACUCCGAUUGCGAAGGCAGUUCACUGGACUGCAACUGACACUGAGGCUCGAAAGUGUGGGUAUCAAACAGGAUUAGAUACCCGUGUAGUC